UAGCCCAUAUCUUAAGCGGUAAAGAGCUCGAUCGAUAAUCGAGAGAUGUAGGUUCAAGUCCUACUAGGCUAA